UGCUAGACUGCGGCACAACCAUUUUAAUGAGCAAAAUGGAUCUCGACACGGUUUACUCACCCCUGUUGAUUUACUGCGGUCAUGACAAUGACGGAAGUGCUCAGAUUUCCCCGGGCCGGCUGAUCUACAAACCAAGUCCAAAUCAUGGUCAUCUUUGGCAUCCUCUCUCAUCCUUUUAAUGCACUUGCUGCAUCUCACCAACCACUGGCUUAAGAGAAAAAUCUACUGGAUUGACACAACCCUUUUUCUUAGGGACGGAGCCAGCAUUGUGCAGACUUAAUUAGGAUGGAGGAACCAGAAGGAAAGCUAAGCCGGUCAGGCUACAGCCGUUGAGUUCCUGAAUCACGGAAAUCUUUCUUAGGGAGCACAUUUGGAGCAGAAGCUGCAGAGAGAGUCUUCCUCAUCAAGCAAACCAGGCUCAGCAUAAGCCAAACCAGGAGAGAAAGUUCUACAGACUUCCAUUUAGCUCUUCCUACAACACGAGCCACUACUCCAGGACCAAAGGCCAAUAUAUGUAUUCUGCCAAGUGAUGUGUAUAUUAUAGACAUACGCUUGUAACUGGGGACAUAAUCACAAAAUGUGUUUAAGGUCUCCAUGAGCCUAUAGUAGGGGAAGAACUAGGGUAGAAACUCAAUGUAUUUUCCAACCCCUGUAAGCCCUAUUCUGACAAUGGCUUUCUAGGUCUCCAGUAAUUAGUGCUGACUUUAUUUAUCCAAUGUCUAAUAACCCCCAAAA